UACGUAGGGCGCAAGCGUUAAUCGGAAUUACUGGGCGUAAAGCGUGCGCAGGCGGUUUUGUAAGUCAGAUGUGAAAUCCCCGGGCUUAACCUGGGAACUGCGUUUGAAACUACAAGGCUAGAGUGUGGCAGAGGGGGGUGGAAUUCCACGUGUAGCAGUGAAAUGCGUAGAGAUGUGGAGGAACACCGAUGGCGAAGGCAGCCCCCUGGGUUAACACUGACGCUCAGGCACGAAAGCGUGGGGAGCAAACAGG
rnacentral:rRNA from 1 species